UGUGGAUUUCCGGCACAG
rnacentral:misc_RNA from 1 species